GGACUACCGGGGUAUCUAAUCCCGUUUGCUCCCCUAGCUUUCGUGCCUCAGUGUCAGGUGUUGUCCAGGGACUCGCCUUCGCCACUGGUGUUCCACUUGAUAUCUACGCAUUUCACUGCUACACCAAGUAUUCCAGUCCCCCCUCCAACCCUCCAGCAAGGUAGUUUCCCAUGCCAUUUCGGAGUUAAGCUCCGAGCUUUCACAUGAGACUUACCUCACCACCUACGCACCCUUUACGCCCAGUAAAUCCGAACAACGCUUGGGACCUCUGUAUUACCGCGGCUGCUGGCAC
rnacentral:rRNA from 1 species